GACGAACGCUGGCGGCGUGCUUAACACAUGCAAGUCGAACGGAAAGGCCCUGCUUUUGUGGGGUGCUCGAGUGGCGAACGGGUGAGUAACACGUGAGUAACCUGCCCUUGACUUUGGGAUAACUUCAGGAAACUGGGGCUAAUACCGGAUAGGAGCUCCUGCUGCAUGGUGGGGGUUGGAAAGUUUCGGCGGUUGGGGAUGGACUCGCGGCUUAUCAGCUUGUUGGUGGGGUAGUGGCUUACCAAGGCUUUGACGGGUAGCCGGCCUGAGAGGGUGACCGGCGACAAUGGGACUGAGAUACGGACCAGAAUCCUACGGGACGCAGCAGUGGGGAAUCUUGCACAAUGGGUGGAAGCGUGAUGCAGCAACGCUGCGUGCGGGAUGCCGGCCUUCGGGUUGUGAACCGCUUUCGCCUGUGACGAAGAGUGAGUGACGGUAAUGGGUAAAGAAGCGCCGGCUAACUACGUG
rnacentral:rRNA from 1 species